GACGAACGCUGGCGGCGUGCUUAACACAUGCAAGUCGAACGGAAAGGCCCCUUCGGGGGUACUCGAGUGGCGAACGGGUGAGUAACACGUGGGUGAUCUGCCCUGAACUCUGGGAUAAGCCUGGGAAACUGGGUCUAAUACCGGAUAUGACCUCGCAUCGCAUGGUGUGGGGUGGAAAGCUUUUGCGGUUUGGGAUGGGCCCGCGGCCUAUCAGCUUGUUGGUGGGGUAAUGGCCUACCAAGGCGACGACGGGUAGCCGACCUGAGAGGGUGAUCGGCCACACUGGGACUGAGACACGGCCCAGACUCCUACGGGAGGCAGCAGUGGGGAAUAUUGCACAAUGGGCGCAAGCCUGAUGCAGCGACGCCGCGUGAGGGAUGACGGCCUUCGGGUUGUAAACCUCUUUCGCCAGGGACGAAGCGCAAGUGACGGUACCUGGAGAAGAAGCACCGGCCAACUACGUG
rnacentral:rRNA from 1 species